UACAACUUUCAACAACGGAUCUCUUGGCUCUCGCAUCGAUGAAGAACGCAGCGAAAUGCGAUAAGUAAUGUGAAUUGCAGAAUUCAGUGAAUCAUCGAAUCUUUGAACGCACCUUGCGCUCCUUGGUAUUCCGAGGAGCAUGCCUGUUUGAGUGUCAUGAAAUUCUCAACU
rnacentral:rRNA from 2 species